UACGGGGGGGGCAAGCGUUGUUCGGAAUUACUGGGCGUAAAGGGUUCGUAGGUGGCUCGCUAAGUCAGACGUGAAAUCCCUCAGCUUAACUGGGGAACUGCGUCUGAGACUGGCGGAGCUCAGGUGCAGGAGAGGAACGCGGAAUUCCAGGUGUAGCGGUGAAAUGCGUAGAUAUCUGGAGGAACACCGGUGGCGAAGGCGGCGUUCUGGACUGCAACUGACACUGAGGGAACGAAAGCCAGGGGAGCAAACGGG
rnacentral:rRNA from 1 species